AAUACCCCAUACUCCUUCAUUCUUAAUGAGUGAAGGGAAAGUUUUUUCGCCAAGGGAUCAGGCUAUAUGGUAUCAGCUAGUUGGUGAGGUAACGGCUCACCAAGGCAAUGACGCCUAACUGGUCUGAGAGGAUGAUCAGUCACACUGGAACUGAGACACGGUCCAGACUCCUACGGGAGGCAGCAGUGGGGAAUAUUGCACAAUGGAGGAAACUCUGAUGCAGCAACGCCGCGUGGAGGAUGACGCAUUUCGGUGUGUAAACUCCUUUUAUAUAGGAAGAUAAUGACGGUACUAUAUGAAUAAGCACCGGCUAACUCCGUGCCA
rnacentral:rRNA from 1 species